rfam:Blautia sp. YL58, complete genome.
UAACCGUUAUCGCAAGAUAACGCUGAACAUACAGAAGUCAGCAGAGGUCAUAGUAGCCGAGAGGUGAAGGAC